CCUACGGGACGCAGCAGUGAGGAAUAUUGGUCAAUGGCCGAGAGGCUGAACCAGCCAAGUCGCGUGAGGGAUGACGGCCCUACGGGUUGUAAACCUCUUUUGUCGGGGAGCAAAGAGAGUCACGUGUGGCUCAUUGAGAGUACCCGAAGAAAAAGCAUCGGCUAACUCCGUGCCAGCAGCCGCGGUAAUACGGAGGAUCCAAGCGUUAUCCGGAUUUAUUGGGUUUAAAGGGUGCGUAGGCGGAUUGAUAAGUUAGAGGUGAAAUGUCCGAGCUCAACUCGGGAACUGCCUCUAAUACUGUUGAU
rnacentral:rRNA from 1 species